rnacentral:rRNA from 1 species
AGUGGGGGAUAACGUAGCGAAAGUUACGCUAAUACCGCAUAUGCCCUGAGGGGGAAAGGAGGGGAUCGCAAGACCUUUCGCUUUCGGAGUGGCCGAUAUCGGAUUAGCUAGUUGGUGGGGUAAAGGCCUACCAAGGCGACGAUCCGUAGCUGGUCUGAGAGGACGACCAGCCACACUGGGACUGAGACACGGCCCAGACUCCUACGGGAGGCAGCAGUGGGGAAUUUUGGACAAUGGGCGCAAGCCUGAUCCAGCCAUGCCGCGUGAGUGAAGAAGGCCUUCGGGUUGUAAAGCUCUUUCGGACGGAAAGAAAUUGCCACUUCUAAUACAGGUGGUAGAUGACGGUACCGUAAGAAGAAGCACCGGCUAACUACGUGCCAGCAGCCGCGGUAAUACGUAGGGUGCGAGCGUUAAUCGGAAUUACUGGGCGUAAAGCGUGCGCAGGCGGUUAUUUAAGACAGGUGUGAAAUCCCCGGGCUUAACCUGGGAAUUGCGCUUGUGACUGGAUGGCUAGAGUACGGCAGAGGGGGGUGGAAUUCCA